AUAUCUGUGUUGUGUAUAAGACUGAGGCGUUUUUAAUAAUUCACUCUCCACAUUGCUGUUGAUCAGGAGUGGUCUAACAGGGGUGUUACACCUCAACUUACUCUCGUCUUAUUUACGCAUCUACUUCAAGCCUGUACCAUAUCCUAAAGACUGAAGUAACUCCAAAAACAGCGAAUAAGUCUGAUUCCGAGGAAAAUACACUCCAUCUAGCCCUGUUCUUAGUAACUUGGCUUGCAAAAGGAGUUUGUAACGCGUGGCGAAUGCUGAUGAUGGUGUUACCAUGGUUGCUAAGAAUGUACAACUGGCUCGUCGACCCUCCCUUUCAAAUUAAGACAAAUAGUUACUUUGCCAACGUCCUCCGAACUGUUCUGAUUAAGUGGAUUUAAAAUGUACAUCAGUGAUGUGACGUUAGUUGUCCAGAAGCUUUGGACUAAUUUGUGGUUAAGGGGUGAAUGAAGACACCAGAGCAAAACCAAAGAUGGCAACCAUGGUAAAAGAAAACCUCUCCAAGGACUGGUCUUACCUCUAUGAGAGGCUUUUCUCCAAGCUGUCUGAUGAGGGAUUCCACGACAUGUGGAGCGUCAGUGGCUUUCUUGUAGUCUUUAUUUUCUGCACCCUUGUCAUCACCUUGACUCUGGCUGUCGCAUUCAGCUGGCUCUGUGGCUGGUGCUUCCAGAAGCCCACCAAGGUUGGCGUGUUGCUGCCGCCUCCAGAACAAAGGUGCAUGCAAACACAAACAGGCCUGGAGCCUAUUCAGACACAGAUGAGUCUAUCAAAUGUGUCUACACAGCUAAAGCCCCAGACUUCUAUGAUGGAUCCACAGAAUCCGAUAGAGUCAGUUCUGAAGCCUGAGACUGUGUCCAGUUUGCAAAAGACUAAUGUGAGCAGUAACAAUAAGAACACUAAGAAGCCAAAAGCUGGGCCUGUGAAUAUAAAGCGCAAAAUCCAGCCUGUGUCUAGGAUCAUCAGCAACCGAGGUGUAUCAGUAUAACUGUGGGCUACCAGCCCAGCGUUUUAGAAUCACACUCCUGAUUGACUAACAAAUCUGGUUUUGUAUCUAUGUUCAUGACUUAUCUCUGUGACAGCCUUGU